CAUAAGAGGUCCUGCCUGCCCAGUGACAAUAUGUUCAACGGCCGCGGUACUUUGACCGUGCGAAGGUAGCGCAAUCACUUGUCUUUUAAAUGGAGACCUGUAUGAAUGGCACGACGAGGGCUUAACUGUCUCCUUUUUCCAGUCAAUGAAAUUGAUCUUCCCGUGCAGAAGCGGGAAUGACGCCAUAAGACGAGAAGACCCUGUGGAGCUUUAGACACUAAACCAGCCCUUGUCCAAAAUCCCCCACUAACGGACCGAACGCUAAAGGAGACCUGGUCUGAUGUCUUCGGUUGGGGCGACCUCGGGGAAAGAAGAAACCCCCGCGCGGAAUAGGAGUACUAUGCUCCCAAAACUGAGAGUCACCACUCAAAGUAUCAGAAAUUUUGACCAACUAUAUGAUCCGGCCUCACGCCGAUCAACGGACCGAGUUACCCCAGGGAUAACAGCGCAAUCCCCUUUUAGAGCCCAUAUCGACAAGGGGGUUUACGACCUCGAUGUUGGAUCAGGACAUCCUAAUGGUGCAGCCGCUAUUAAGGGUUCGUUUGUUCAACGAUUAAAGUCCU
rnacentral:rRNA from 1 species